rnacentral:snRNA from 1 species
GGAAUCGAGAGCUCCAAGUGGGC